ensembl:lncRNA
CCAGUCUUUGGAAGGUGUAGUAUUGGGGAGGUUAUGAGAGGCUGAGGGAGGGAGGAAUGAGCAGAGUUGAAUUACAAACACAUUUUCGGGUGCCUUUGCUCCACUCCAUACCAGCGUGGGUUAGGUAAAGGUAGGCGACGGAUUUUAUCCACCAAAUCUCAGCGGGAAAACGGAGUAUUUUCUCAAUGCGAGACUUAUUGAGGAGACUGACUGGAGCACGAGUUGUAGCCUACUCGCGCCUGUCUCACCUGCGUGACUUUUCAGUGUGUCUUUUGGAAACUGCGACCGUAAGCUUUGAUUUGAAAAAAUAGAGCAGAGCCGCAACACGAUAUAUCGGGACAUUGAUUUGAAUUGAAUGGAUCAUUGUGCGCUGAAUUCGUCUAUAUGGGAUGUACUGUGAGUUUGAUCUGUUGUGAGGACGAGUUGUUGGUGCCCCUCGGUCGCUAUGAUGAGAAAGAGAAAGAAGAAUCCACAAUCUUAUCAAAGCCUGAGGAGUUGGAGAGUGUCCACACACACAAUUUCAAGCUUAAGCCCUUCAAGAAAGUCAAGAGCUGUGAUGUAUGUCAGCAGGCCAUCACCAAGGAUGGGCUCAUCUGUAAAGUGUGCAAGCUGGGCAUCCAUAAGAAGUGUGAGGUGAAGGUCCUCGCAGAUGCAUGUGUGGCACCUACCGGAUCACCUACCAAGCCGAGGUCAGUUGCUUCGCUUAAUUCACGGCCGGCCACUCCUCAGCUGCCGUUGAAGCAUGUAGAAACUCCGGGAACCCCAAGGUCCUGUAAGAGUGAGCAGACUAGACGAAGGUCAUCACGCAGUGUCAGUCUGCUGCAGGCCAUGGAGGAGAGCUAUGAGGUGGACCUGGUGUACAUCACCGAGAGGAUCAUCUCUGUCUCCUUCCCCAGCGGAGCGGAGGAGCGCAGCUACACCUCCAACAUCAAGGAGGUGGCCUCCAUGCUGGCCUCCAAACACGGGGAACACUAUCUGCUCCUCAACCUAAGUGAGCGGAGGAAUGACAUCACCAAGCUUAACCACAAGUUUGGCUGGCCAGACCAUUAUGCUCCGGCCCUGGAUAAGAUCUGCAGCAUGUGCAAGGCCAUGGACACCUGGCUCAACGCUGACCAACACAAUGUAGUGGUGCUUCACAACAAGGGGAACCGUGGGAGGACUGGAGUGGUGGUGGCUGCCUACAUGCAUUACAGCAACAUAUCAGCCAGUGCUGACCAGGCACUGGACAGGUUCGCCAUGAGGCGCUUCUACGAAGACAAAGCACUUCCUGUGGGUCAACCGUCCCAGAGAAGGUAUGUACGUUACUUCAGUGGUCUGCUCUCUGGCCACAUCAAGAUUAACAACAAGCCUCUGUUCCUGCACCACGUCAUCAUGCACGGCAUCCCCAACUUCGAGUCCAAAGGAGGUGAGUCUGCAGCAGGAUACAAAAGUCCUUGUCUUUAUGUCCGGUUAUAUGCUUAUUCUCUCCUCCUCCUCCUCCUCCUCCUCCUACAGUUGAAGUGUUACCACAAGCGUUUCCGGAGCCCCAUUAGGGAUGUGGUAUUCAGAGUGCAGUUCCACACCUGUGCCAUCCACGACCUGGGAGUAGUCUUCGGGAAGAAUGAACUGGAUCAGACUUUUAAAGAUGAGAGAUUUCCAGAAUAUGGGAAAGUGGAAUUUGUCUUCUCCUUCGGUCCUGAGAAAAUCAAAGGAAUGGGCCACCUUGAGAAUGGCCCACAAGUGUCGGUGGACUACAAUACCCAAGACCCCCUCAUCCGCUGGGACUCCUACGAGAACUUCAACAGGGACGUUGUUCACACCCAAGGCCCCCUCGACGGCAGCCUGUAUGCCCGAAUCCACAAGAAAGAGUCCCUCGAUGGAGUGGUCACAAUCAACGUGGGCCACGCCUCCCUGCCCGCGGUUGACCACGCCCUGUCGGUCAGCAGCGACUCUGGGAACUCGACAGCAUCCGUCAAAACCGAUCGCACCGAUGACCACAGUCUGUUGCUGCAUGGAGCGGUGAAUACCAACCAGAACCACAACACGCCCAGUCAUCCCCCUCUCAGUCCCCAGGAGAAGAGAGAGUUGGACCAGCUUCUGAGUGGCCUUGAGGCCCCCAUGCUCCACCGCCAGGCUUACCUGGCUACCUCCACCAGCCCCGGGGGGGGAGUUCGCCACCUUGUCCCAGCCCAGGUGCACGUCAGCGGGCAUACCCGGCUCAUUGCAGCCCCCUCCGCCGAAGAGCGCGAGACGGACAUCUUGGACGACGAGCUGCACAUCAGUCAGGAGGGUAACAGCGUGGACAGUCUGGGAACACUGUCGUCAUUGGAGGGCCAGGCCACGCCCGCAGAGCUGUACUACCAAUCACAGAUACCCAUCAACAGGCAGAACGACGGGCCAUACCUAGAGAAGCUACGGGAGAUGCCGGUGCACCGGGUACGGACUUCUACGUCGGCACAGGAGCGGAUCAUGGACUCCAGUUCGCCCCAGGAAGAGGAGUACUCUCCUAACAGUUACCAGAACGGGAGUAUGCAGCGUUCCCAGUCCUUCGGGACCCCCGAGCCUGGAGGCCCCAAGCUGCCCAGGGCCCCUGAGAGGAGCACCAGUAGCAGGGAGGCAGUCCAGAGGGGGCUGAACGCAUGGCACCAGUACAGUCUGCCAGACGACCCGUUCGGUCCUCCCUUACAGAGCACCCACAGUCUGCCCCACUUCCCCCCCACCGCCUCUCAGCACGACAUAGAGCAGUCGAUCGAAGCCCUCGACAUGCUGAUGCUGGAUCUGGACCCACACACAGGACAGGUGCCCAAGUCCUACAGCGCCCCCUCUGGUGAGAACAGUGUAGGAGGGCCAGCCCAGAUCCCCUUCUCCCAAUCUCUGGCCAGGCCGUCCUACCAGGCGGACUCAGCCAUCCACGGCUAUAACAUUAACUACAAUGCCUUCGGACAGCCUCUGAGGUCGAUGGCUGGCCGGUGUAAUAAUAAUAUAAAUGUGUGUGUGUUUUCACUACAGACGGCCAUGGUUAUGGUGGACACCCCUUUAAUGAUCCUAUAUCUUCCAGUAGUCCCAUCCACAGGCCAGACGGGUGAGUACUGUACUGUUCCUGGGGCACAGAGUUUGGAGAACCGAGGGGAAACUCUUGAAUUAAGAGGAAUAAAGAUAGUCCUAGGUUACAGCUCAGUGUUUCUCUCUCUCUGCAGCAUGAGGAUGACUUCCUCCAUUCGGCUCCAGGCUGACUCCGGCUUCCACUCCCACCCCUUGGAGAGCGCCCAGCACACCCCCGUUCCGUCCUACGGCCCCCACUCCCCUGAGGGAUCCCAGGUCAGCGUCGUGGGCCCCCUCCACACCGUCCCCGGAAGCCCCAACACACUCCACCGCACGGUGGCCACCAACACCCCACCAAGCCCCGCCCUCCAGUGCCGCCUGGCCAACCAGGCCAGCCCGGGUCUGGCUCGUCACCCCACACCGCCCAAUGGUAACAGGGUGCAAGUCCCCGGCAGCCCUGUGAUCCCCGCAAGAGGCUCCAGAACCGCCGCCGUCCCUGCUAGCCCUUUGAUGGGGCGCCACCCGAUGGCCAGUAGCCACACUACGCCCGAUGACAGACAGGGGGCACCACUCACGCCCUCCUUCCCAGUGUCACCCCAGCCGAUGCUUCCAGAGAAGAGGCGGAUGCCCAGUGGAGAGAGGUCCAAUGGGGGGCUGUCAUAUGGGACUCUGGAUGGGAAGACCACCACACCCACCUUUCCCAGUGGAGGCAGCACACCCAGUGUGUCCACCUCUCACACCCUACCCGACCUCUCCAAAUUCUCCAUCUACGACCAGAGUCCAGACAUCAGGCUGAAUGUGAAGUUUGUCCAGGACACGUCUAAGUUGUGGUACAAGCCAGACAUCUCCAGAGAGCAGGCCAUCAGUCUGCUGAGAGACAGGGAGCCAGGGGCCUUCAUUAUCAGGGACAGUCACUCCUUCAGAGGGGCCUACGGCCUGGCCAUGAAGGUGGCCUGCCCACCUCCCACCGCCCAGGCCAAUAAGAAAGUUGGUGACAUCACGAGCGAGCUGGUGAGGCACUUCCUGAUUGAGACGAGCCCCAAAGGCGUGCGUCUGAAGGGCUGUCCCAACGAGCCCUACUUUGGAUGUCUGUCUGCCCUGGUGUACCAACACUCGAUGACUCCUCUGGCCCUGCCCUGCAAGCUGAUGAUCCCCAGCAAAGAUCCCAAUGAGGAGGCCCUGGAGCUGGACACUCCCACUGACACAGUGGCCGAGCUGGUGAAACAAGGAGCAGCAUGCAAUGUUCUUUACAUCAGCUCUGUGGACAUGGAGUCUCUGACCGGUCCUCAGGCCGUCGCCAAGGCAAUCAGCGAAACGGUGGCCGUCAACCCGUUGCCCGCGGCAACAACCGUCCACUUCAAAGUGUCGUCGCAGGGCAUCACCCUCACGGAUAGCCAGAGGAAGGUCUUCUUCCGAAGGCACUACCCAAUCAACACUGUCACCUACUGUGACAUUGACCCCCAGGACAGGAAGUGGAGCAAGGAAGGAGGUGGAACGGCGAAACUGUUUGGUUUCGUGGCACGUAAACAAGGGAGCACAACGGACAACGUCAGCCACCUGUUUGCCGAGUUGGACCCCGACCAGCCUGCUUCAGCCAUCGUCAACUUCGUCUCCAAAGUCAUGAAGCGAUGAAACCAACGAACCCCCGACAGCCAUUCUUUUUUAAUUAAAUUUUUUCUUCAUUUUUGAUUGUGUUUCAUUAUUUUCUUCUGUUCUUUUUGUUGAGAUAUGUUCUCUUUGUUUUCUUCUGCGAGAUUUUAUGUUUGAAGGACUUGGAGGUAAUCCAAGAUGGCGUCAGAGGAAGUUGUGGCUGGAGUGGUGACAGUGACAACGUGGCUCGAGCUGGUGGAGGAAGAUGCUUUCUUCCACAGGGUAACUGUGGAAGUCCAAGUGGAGAAGCUGUGUGCUAAACUAAGUAUCAGUGGGAGGAAAGGACACUGACAUGUAUCAGGUUUUCGGAUUGAUUUACCAAAGGUAGCACUCAGAACAAGUAUGUCAUUAUUAGAUGGUCAGUUUAAGGUGUUGUAGAUUUUCUCUUUUUUUUCUUUUUUUUUUACAAUGGGACUGUUGAAAUGAAACAGACAAAAACAAAAAGAAUGCUUUCUUCUUGAACUUUAUUCUGUCUUCAGAAAAAUAGUUUGCCUCAGUGGCUUCUUACUAAAGAAUAUUUAAGAAGACAUUUUGCAUGUUAGCUCGAUCUUUAAGCUUGGUCCACUAAAGUCAUUUGUGAACCCUCGAGUGGACAUUUCCCAGGCCUGUUGUAUGUUGUAAAGGGCUCAACAGCGAGAAAAAUAAACAGUUCUCAACUUCACA